GCGGAAGAGUAAAAGUGAACGCCUAGAAGAAGUGGCCAAGAUCCGACAGCGAAAUAUUUUCCACACGGACUCCACAUCACACCAACUGGAUGAGUUCGACUUACGUGACCUUCAUAUUUGCGAACACAUCUACAAGAAAGGUCUGCAAAUGUCUCCUCGAAAAGUUCACGUGUACAUUUUCACAGUUAAAAUUCUAAAAUGGCAGAUGCUUCAAAAAGUACGGAUAAUAAUGCACAUCUUUUAGGUUUUAAAUGUAGCGACGAAAUGAAAUGUCAAUUUUUUUAUCGCUGUCACAUACGGCAUAAUCUAUAUGAAGUUUGAAGUUCUUGCAUGAUCAUGAAAACUAAACAUUUAAGGAUAGUGCAAAGCUUAAAAAACUGCCUUUAAAAAACUACAAACAGCAAUGUUACAAACUUUGCACUAAAAAUAAGUGAAAGCUGAUUUUUUAGAAUGUAAUAUUACACGAAUGUUGAUUAAAAACUGAACAUUGCUUUUUUUCA